AGGACGCUAAUACCGCAUGGAGCCACAAUACCGCAUGGUAAAGUGAUGAAAGGAGCAAUCCGCUGAGAGAUGGACUCGCGUCCGAUUAGCUAGUUGGCGGGAUAACAGCCCACCAAGGCGACGAUCGGUAGCCGGACUGAGAGGUUGAUCGGCCACAUUGGGACUGAGACACGGCCCAGACUCCUACGGGAGGCAGCAGUGGGGGAUAUUGCACAAUGGGGGAAACCCUGAUGCAGCAACGCCGCGUGAGGGAAGAAGGUUUUCGGAUUGUAAACCUCUGUCCCCGGGGAAGAUAAUGACGGUACCCGGGGAGGAAGCUCCGGCUAACUAC
rnacentral:rRNA from 1 species